rnacentral:lncRNA from 1 species
AUCCGGAGACAUGGCCGGCCAAAAGAUACUGUCAAUUGACUCUUGCUGCCUGUAAGCUGUCACAAUUCUCGCUCUGUGCGGUCUGGCAUUAUCGUCCAUGUACAGGGGACGAUCAGCAAGUGGAUGGCCAUCAAAAUGUGGAACAACAAUGUCACGUAGCACUAAAUCCCUGUAAAGCUGACCAUUCAUAUUCCCUUGUAAGACAUGCAUAUCCAGUUUACAACUUAACGAAAAACAUCCCCACACCGUGACACCACCUGCACCAAAAGCAUGAGUUGGAAAAAUGUUCCUUUGGUUAUAGGCUGUAUUGCGUUCCCGCCAAACGCGCAUACGCUCGUCUACGGGCCGUAAAAGAAAUCGACUUUCAUCAGACCAAUGAAUUUUUCGCCGAUUUCGGAUGUUCCAAUGAAGAUGGUCAUAGGCCCACUGCAUACGAAUUUGGCGAUGCCUUGGUAACAGAUGAGGACGUCGUACAACUCUACGUGCUCGCAGGUUAGCGUUAUGGAGCCUCCGGACAACACUUCGAACGCUUAUCCUUCCUCCUGGUGGCCAUUGCUGUCGUAACUGAGUUGCAGGUGUAAAUGGAUGAGCCCUAGCGGUGCGAAUUAAUAAUCUGUCACUUCGAAUUGACGUUUUUCGAGGUCUCCCAGAUCGGGGUCUGUCAUUUACACUUCCUGUGAUUCUCUGACGUCGUAAAAGUCGAACGAUGACUGUAUGAUUGACGUUAAAAUUGUUACCAAUGGUUCUUGUGCUCAUACCUGCAGUUGACAUUCCAACAGCUUGCCAUCUUUCAGCUUCAGAUAACUUACGUCUUGGCAUCACAGAUAAAAUGGCUUAAAAGUGUUAAUUUUACCUGUGCAGGUAAUUUAAAGUGGAAAGUUUGGAUGUACCCAAACCUGUUUUCCACACUGACCACGAUAGGGUUAAUUAAAAGCCGGUUUACAAGUUUAUAUGAACUUAUUAUUGCAUCAAAUUUAUACACAAUAU